CGACACGCGAGACGCACCCAAGUCUAGCGACGACGUCGUGACGUGUAUUAUGUUUGACGACAAAAACUCAAGAGAACAAGGGGCCUGCUAAUUGAAAAAUUAAGAUGUGGGAAUGUGUGUGGGAGUGGACCGUGCCAGAUGCCUUCUUCAACGAACAGAGGGCCUGUUAAUGGAAAAAUAUGAAUGUGUGAUAGACUGGAUCAGAUGCCUUUUCAAAAGCAAGUGUUGAGUUAACUCGUCCUUUGCUGAAAAAUGUCACAUUACCCAAGUAUACAGGAGUGAAGCUUUUGCCGUCGUAUAAUUUUCCCAUAAAAUGGGAACAUUUAAGUGUAGAGCGGUGGAAUUGUGUGUCAAUGAAUGGUCCCGUUAAUAGUGAUAUCACUCCCUGGAACAAAAGGAUGGAAGGCUGAACGAGAAUAGAGGAGUGGAGGUGAGUCCAUGGAGUGUGUACCGUCGGCCAUUUCCGUCCCCUCCGUUUGGGUCAUGCACUAGCCCAUCGAGAGAGCGCGUACAUGACUGACAAUACCCGCAAGACAAACGGUCCACUCAAGCACAAACCACGCUCAGACAAAAAUGUGCAAAAAAAAA